AAACCGGAGCUAAUACCGGAUAAUAUUUUAAACCGCAUGGUUCAAAAGUGAAAGACGGUCUUGCUGUCACUUAUAGAUGGAUCCGCGCUGCAUUAGCUAGUUGGUAAGGUAACGGCUUACCAAGGCAACGAUGCAUAGCCGACCUGAGGAGGGUGAUCGGCCACACUGGAACUGAGACACGGUCCAG
rnacentral:rRNA from 1 species